UCGAUUCCCUUAGUAGCGGCGAGCGAAACGGGAAGAGCCCAAACCAACAAGCUUGCUUGUUGGGGUUGUAGGACACUCUAUACGGAGUUACAAAGGACGACAUUAGACGAAUCAUCUGGAAAGAUGAAUCAAAGAAGGUAAUAAUCCUGUAGUCGAAAAUGUUGUCUCUCUUGAGUGGAUCCUGAGUACGACGGAGCACGUGAAAUUCCGUCGGAAUCUGGGAGGACCAUCUCCUAAGGCUAAAUACUCUCUAGUGACCGAUAGUGAACCAGUACCGUGAGGGAAAGGUGAAAAGCACCCCGGAAGGGGAGUGAAAUAGAACCUGAAACCGUGUGCUUACAAGUAGUCAGAGCCCGUUAAUGGGUGAUGGCGUGCCUUUUGUAGAAUGAACCGGCGAGUUACGAUUUGAUGCAAGGUUAAGCAGUAAAUGUGGAGCCGUAGCGAAAGCGAGUCUGAAUAGGGCGUUUAGUAUUUGGUCGUAGACCCGAAACCAGGUGAUCUACCCUUGGUCAGGUUGAAGUUCAGGUAACACUGAAUGGAGGACCGAACCGACUUACGUUGAAAAGUGAGCGGAUGAACUGAGGGUAGCGGAGAAAUUCCAAUCGAACCUGGAGAUAGCUGGUUCUCUCCGAAAUAGCUUUAGGGCUAGCCUCAAGUGAUGAUUAUUGGAGGUAGAGCACUGUUUGGACGAGGGGCCCCUCUCGGGUUACCGAAUUCAGACAAACUCCGAAUGCCAAUUAAUUUAACUUGGGAGUCAGAACAUGGGUGAUAAGGUCCGUGUUCGAAAGGGAAACAGCCCAGACCACCAGCUAAGGUCCCAAAAUAUAUGUUAAGUGGAAAAGGAUGUGGCGUUGCCCAGACAACUAGGAUGUUGGCUUAGAAGCAGCCAUCAUUUAAAGAGUGCGUAAUAGCUCACUAGUCGAGUGACACUGCGCCGAAAAUGUACCGGGGCUAAACAUAUUACCGAAGCUGUGGAUUGUCCUUUGGACAAUGGUAGGAGAGCGUUCUAAGGGCGUUGAAGCAUGAUCGUAAGGACAUGUGGAGCGCUUAGAAGUGAGAAUGCCGGUGUGAGUAGCGAAAGACGGGUGAGAAUCCCGUCCACCGAUUGACUAAGGUUUCCAGAGGAAGGCUCGUCCGCUCUGGGUUAGUCGGGUCCUAAGCUGAGGCCGACAGGCGUAGGCGAUGGAUAACAGGUUGAUAUUCCUGUACCACCUAUAAUCGUUUUAAUCGAUGGGGGGACGCAGUAGGAUAGGCGAAGCGUGCGAUUGGAUUGCACGUCUAAGCAGUAAGGCUGAGUAUUAGGCAAAUCCGGUACUCGUUAAGGCUGAGCUGUGAUGGGGAGAAGACAUUGUGUCUUCG
rnacentral:rRNA from 1 species